rnacentral:rRNA from 1 species
GAUGAACGCUGGCGGCGUGCUUAACACAUGCAAGUCGAACGGUGAAGCAGAGCUUGCUCUGUGGAUCAGUGGCGAACGGGUGAGUAACACGUGAGCAACCUGCCCCGGACUCUGGGAUAAGCGCUGGAAACGGUGUCUAAUACUGGAUACGAGACGCAACCGCAUGGUUAGUGUCUGGAAAGAUUUUUCGGUCUGGGAUGGGCUCGCGGCCUAUCAGCUUGUUGGUGAGGUAAUGGCUCACCAAGGCGUCGACGGGUAGCCGGCCUGAGAGGGUGACCGGCCACACUGGGACUGAGACACGGCCCAGACUCCUACGGGAGGCAGCAGUGGGGAAUAUUGCACAAUGGGCGAAAGCCUGAUGCAGCAACGCCGCGUGAGGGACGACGGCCUUCGGGUUGUAAACCUCUUUUAGCAAGGAAGAAGCGAAAGUGACGGUACUUGCAGAAAAAGCACCGGCUAACUACGUGCCAGCCGCCGCUGUAACAC